CAAUCCUCCUGCCUCAGCCUCCCAAGUAGCUGGGACUACAGGUCCUGCCGACAACGGAGAUUGUGACAUAUUGCUGUGCCUAACACUAAGGUGAUGUUACUUCUUUGCUUUGGCUGUGCCCUUGGAAGGCAUUGAGACAUACUGCUGUGCCCAGCACCAAGAUGAUGUGAGUUCUCUGCCUGAACCCUGACCACAGGAAGCAUUGUGACCUAUCUAUUGACCCAUUGCAAUCUCUCCUAUGGGAAAAGCAUAGAUAAAUACCCUCUUUUACCUACAUGAUUUGACACUCCUCUGCUGCCUGGGCCAUGCCCACAGAAUGGAGAGUGACUUAUCGCUGGACCAAGCACACCAGUGAUGUAAUUAUUCUGCUUGGUCCUUGCACACACAAGUCACUGUGAUAUAUGUUUGGGCCCAUCACCUAGAUGAUGUGACUCCUCUUCUGGGGUUUGUCCACAGUGGGAAUUGUGAUACAUCGCUUGACGUAGCUCCUAUGUGAUGUGACUCUUCUUUCAUGCCUGGGCCCUUCCCACUGGGAUGAUUGGGAUGAUUGGAACAUAAAGCUGAGCCCAGCACCUAGGUUAUGUGACUCUCCUCUUGUUUAUGAGCCCUACCCGCAGGAGUCAUUGUGACAUAUCUCUAGGCCUCUCAAUUAGGUAAUGUGACUUUUUUGCCUAGGCCCUCCCUUCCAGAAAUACUGUGAAAUAUUUCUGGACCAAUAGCCUAGGUGAUGUGACUCUCCUCUUCUGCUUGGGACCUGCAUACAUUGUGUGUUGCAACGUGUCUUUGGGUCCAACACCAAGGUGAUGUGACUGUCCUGCAUGGAUGCUCUCACAGAAAUAUUAUAACACAUCUCUUUAUUCAUUAUCCAGGUAACGUGACUUUUCUCUUCUGCUUCAGGCCUACCAAAAGAAAAGAUUGUGACAGAUCACUGGACCCAGCACCUAGGUAGGAUUGUGACAUAUAUCUGGCCAAGCAUGCAGAUGUAAUGAUGACUGUCAUACCUUGAAGAAGCCAAUAGGAGAGAGAAUGUUGCUCUCAGGCUUAGGAAAAUUCUUUAUACAAAAGUCAUAAAGAAUUACUACUCUCUCACAUAUAUAAAGCCCUAGUGUGUUACAGAGAAUGUCAUAACAGGGCCCAGCGCACAAGUGAGAUUGUUUGUCCUAUGCAAACCACACCAACCUUUACAGUUGUCACCCUGACCCAUUGACAGAGUCCACUAGUGAGGUCCUGAAACAUGUGAACACAGUCCACAGUUGGAAUAGUGACUGUUAAAUGUGAACAUCUGACUACAGUUGGGAUGGUGACUCAUUUCUAAAUCCAGCUCAUAGGAAGGUGAAGACUCUCCUAUCUGGUCUCAGUCAAUUAGAGAGAUGUUGACUCUCAUAUCUGGGCUUAGAACCACAGGAAAGAUGCUGGAGCUCCUUGUGCAAAGGUCACAGAGGAUUACCAAUCUUGCAUAUUGUAUAAAGUCCUCAGGUGACACAGAGGGUGUCUCUCGAAUGCACACCCAGGCAACAGUAGAGAUUGUCAUUCUCCCACAUAAACACAUCCCACUGUUGAAGUUCUGAAUUUCACAGAGGCUGUCAAAAGUUGGAUAAUUUCCUCUCAUGUGUGGAUCUGGUCCACAGGUUGGGUUAGUGACUUCCAGACCAAGAUUCAGCACACAUGUAAGGCUGUGACUACACUAAGAAGAUACAGUCUGCAGAAGAAAUUGUGGCUCUUUUGCACACAUUCUGUCAGUCAUUGAGAUUGCGACUUGUACUUGGACCCACCAUACAGGAGGUGUUGACUUUCAUACCUUUAGAACCUGGACAUGUUUGGAAUUUCUAAUCUAAUCCCUGGACUUUGCUGCAGGUGUGAUUGUGUGCAUUGCAAAGCACCUUAGUGAUUUGACUCUCCUGCCUUGGCCAAGCAUACAAAUGAGAUUGUGACAUAUGGCUUGACUCUGGACCUCCAAGAUGUGACUCUUUUUUCCAGCCUUGGAGCUGCCCACAUAUUGCAUUGUGACAUAUUCCUAAGCCCUGCACUCAGGUUAUGUGACUCUCCUUUUUUGCUUAGGCCCUGAAUAUUUUUCAUGUUAAGACAUAUUACUAGGUCCAACACCUACAAAAUGGGAGACUGCCACCUGGGUCCUUUCUACAGAGGGCCUUGUGACAUACCUCUGCAUCAAUAACCUAGGAGAUGUGAUUCUCCAUUUUUGCCUGUACUCGCCCCACAGAAAAAAUUGUGGCUGGUGCAGGUACCAGGUGAUGUGUCUGCUGCCUGGGCCUGGACCACAGAGAGCAUUGUUACUGAUUGCUGGGCUCAGCACCCAGGUGAUGUGACUCUGCUGCCUGUGUGCUGCUUUCAGGAGAAGGUUGUAACUUAUUCCUGGCUGACUAUUCAGUCACACUCCUGACCUCUGCCCUCGGAAAAGGUUGUGUCAAGCCAGGCCCGGUGGCUCAUGCCAGUAAUCCCCAGCAAUUUGGGAGAACCGAGGUGGGUGGAUUGCCUGAGGAGU